UAGGGAAUCUUCGGCAAUGGACGAAAGUCUGACCGAGCAACGCCGCGUGAGUGAAGAAGGUUCUCGGAUCGUAAAACUCUGUUGUUAGAGAAGAACAAGGACGUUAGUAACUGAACGUCCCCUGACGGUAUCUAACCAGAAAGCCACGGCUAACUACGUGCCAGCAGCCGCGGUAAUACGUAGGUGGCAAGCGUUGUCCGGAUUUAUUGGGCGUAAAGCGAGCGCAGGCGGUUUCUUAAGUCUGAUGUGAAAGCCCCCGGCUCAACCGGGGAGGGUCAUUGGAAACUGGGAGACUUGAGUGCAGAAGAGGAGAGUGGAAUUCCAUGUGUAGCGGUGAAAUGCGUAGAUAUAUGGAGGAACACCAGUGGCGAAGGCGGCUCUCUGGUCUGUAACUGACGCUGAGGCUAGAAAGCGUGGGGAGCAAACAGG
rnacentral:rRNA from 1 species